AAAGAGGAAUCGAGGUUGGUCCUGCUAAAAAAAAAGAGAAAAAAAAAAGAAAAAAGAAAAAAAAAGAAAAAAAAAGAAAAGCAAAUACAGAAAUGCCUGAACCGAGAACAAAAAAGAAAAAAGAGGUCAAACGGUCAGGUAGGAUAAUGAUUGCCAAGGGGCGCUGAAGAGUAAAGAGAAUAAGUUGCAGGAACCUCUGAUUCCGAUACUUCAGUGGAAGAAACGAUUGUUAAUCUAUUACUUGACAGCCCUCAAGGGGUCUAUGAGGUGCGUAUUGAGUCAGUGUGACUAGUCUUGUCG
rnacentral:lncRNA from 1 species